UAUUUCCUAGAAUAAGUCUUUUUAAUCGCGUCUACAAUUAAUAUCGCCAUUUUGAGACAUAUCUACGACUUGUGCAGGCUAAAACUAUGAAUACUUCGGGUGUUCCGGAAAGAGAUUCACGGGAAAACGACCAAACAGUUUCACGUCCUUUUGACUACACCCGUAGGCCUCCAGAAAAUGACCAUUAUCAAGGAGCUGGAACUAUACCACUGCCAGUUCAACGUGGUAAUAGUUUAGGAUUUUCUCGAAGCCCAGAAGAUUCGGAUGUUCCGGAAAGAGGUUCCUUGGAAAACGAACCAACAGUUUUAGAAUCUUUUGACUAUACCCGUAGGCCUCCAGAAAUUAGCCAUUAUCAGGGAGAUGCAAUUAGACCAGUGCCGGUUCUUGAACCUGAUUAUAGCUUACCAUUUUCUCAAAGCUCACAAGGCACCGGACUUCCUAUUCCAUCAUGGAUUCCGUCACUUCCAGGUUAUACUAGUCCACCUCUUGCAGAGCCUUAUUUGAAUAGGUACGUAAACAAUGACAAAAAUCGUCGAUUAAGAAGAGUUGGGAUGGUUAUUGGCUCGAAGGUAGAUUCAUCGCCAAAGAAGCCGAAACAGAAACCAAAUGAAGUCACCCUAAAUGUUAAUGUUUCGAACAAAGGGCUCAAUAUUUUUAUCUUUAUAUUUAUUUUAAUAAUCGUUCUCUUCAUAAUAUAUUGGAUGGUGUCUCCCAGUGAUAAUCGAGAAUCUGAAAUUACUACUGAAGUGUGAUUGACCAAUCUGUCUUUGACGUACUGGAUGUAAAAGCAAAAGUUACGGUGUUUUGGUGAGAAAUCUGCUAAUGGAACUUCUAAUCUCACUAAGAACUUUCAGUGCUUUCUUGUCUACUUUUUAAAUUCUAUGUACCUUUAUGUUUUUUGUUCAAAGGAUAUUAUCAUAUAUUAUAGCUGUGUUUUUUUGUGAGCUUUUAUUAUGUCAAUAAAAUAGGCCGUGGAAACAUGGCGGUUGUGUGUA